UACAGAGGGGGCAAGCGUUGUUCGGAAUUACUGGGCGUAAAGGGCGCGUAGGCGGCCGCCUAAGUCAGACGUGAAAUCCCUCGGCUCAACCGGGGAACUGCGUCUGAUACUGGGUGGCUUGAAUUCGGGAGAGGGAUGCGGAAUUCCAGGUGUAGCGGUGAAAUGCGUAGAUAUCGCUUGGAACGCCAAAGGUGAAAACAAGGC
rnacentral:rRNA from 1 species